rnacentral:ncRNA from 1 species
AUAUCUAUUGAUUAAAAGGGAAGUGGGUUAAAAUCCCACGCGGUCUCGCCACUGUAAUAGAUGAGUUCCUGCAAUUAUGCCACUGGGAAACUGGGAAGGCUGUAGGAAUGUUGAUGCUUAAGCCAGAAGACCUGCCUAUUUUAGU